rnacentral:rRNA from 1 species
AUUGAACGCUGGCGGCAGGCCUAACACAUGCAAGUCGAGCGAGCGGCGGACGGGUAAGUAAUGUAUGGGGACUGCCCGAUAGAGGGGGAUAACUACUGGAAACGGUGGCUACUACCGCAUACCGUCGAAUAACCCAUAUUGGGUUAGCUAGUCGGUAAGGUAAUGGCCUACCUACGCGACGAUCCCUAGCUGGUCUGAGAGGGUGAUCAGCCACACUGUGAAUGAGACACGGCCCAGACUCCUACGGAGGCAGCAGUGGGGAAUAUUGCACAAUGGGCGCAAGCCUGAUGCAGCCAUGCCGCGUGUAUGAAGAAGGCCCUAGGGUUGUAAAGUACUUUCAGUCGGGAGGCGUUACCGACAGAAGAAGCACCGGCUAACUCCGUGCCAGCAGCCGCGGUAAUUC